UACGGGGGGGGCAAGCGUUGUUCGGAAUUACUGGGCGUAAAGGGCUCGUAGGUGGCCAACUAAGUCGGACGUGAAAUCCCUCGGCUUAACCGGGGAACUGCGUCUGAUACUGGAUGGCUUGAGUUCGGGAGAGGGAGUGCGGAAUUCCAGGUGUAGCGGUGAAAUGCGUAGAUAUCUGGAGGAACACCGGUGGCGAAGGCGGCAUCCUGGACCGACACUGACGCUGAGGAGCGAAAGCCAGGGGAGCAAAGCGGG
rnacentral:rRNA from 1 species